rnacentral:lncRNA from 1 species
UACUCUAGUAUUCACCAAUAAUCUUUUAUUAUUUAUUUAAGUUUAAACAAAACAAAUAUUUUCAGAGCUAAAUUUAAUAUCGUCAAAUUAGACAUCACGGAUAUUGACACGGAAUACGGAACACUACAUGACUCAGACACGACGACUCACAGCUUUUAAAAAAUUAGACCACGGGUAUGACAUGAACAUCAUUAAUAAAAUAUAAUAAUAUAAAUUUAUUAUAUAUAAAAUAUUAAUUUUUAUAAAAUAUUAUUAUAUUUCUCAUACGAAUGAAAAUUAGUAAAAUUUUUAUUAAUAGUUUAUAUAUUUUAAGAAAAAAAUUUUCACCGCACAUAAUUUAUUUAUAUUUUAAAAAAAAUUUUAUAUGCAUUCAUUAAAAAGUUAAAAUAUUUAUCAUAUUACAUUAUAAAUGCAUAAAAAAAAUAAAAUAAAAAUAUGUAUAUAUAUUUUUUAAAUAUUUGCCUUAUGAAUCAGCAUUAAAUAUAUGUCCAAAAAAUAUCCACAUCGAACACGUGUCUAACACGAACAUGUGAUGCUUAUAUAAAUAUCCGUAAUACAUAGUCAUCAAAACAGAUAUAUUAUAUCUAAAAUUAAUCUUUUUUGUUUGACAAUAUCAAAAUUAGCCCUAGAAUAUAAACUUUUUUUAAAAAAUACUCAAAAUUAGCCCUAGAAUAUAUCA